CUGACUCCAGGGCUCAAGUGAUCCUUCCACUUAAGCCUCCCGAAUAGCUGGGGCUACAGGUGUGCCCCACCACACCCGGCUCAUUUUAUUAAUUCUUGGUAGAGACCAGGUCUCUCUCUGUUGCCCAGGCCAGUCUCGAACUCCUGGCCUCAAGCGAUCCUCCCACCUCGGCCUCCCAAAGGACUGGGAUUACAGGUACGAGUCACUGCGCCCAGGCUUUUCUCCCUUUUGACUCAUUUUGAGGCCCCCGUCGUAGGGUACACGCCCUGGGAAUCGGGGGUCUUCCAGUAUAGGGAACCACCGAGAUGCGGGCCCUCCGAAGUCCUAGAGAGGGCGCCUCGGCCGCCGGCACCCGCCACACUUCCGGCCUUUGUGGGCCGCAGCGACGGCGGUCUGCGGCUGUCGGUUCUGUUUGUUGCUGUCACUGCUGUUUGUUCUUGCCAGCGGCUAGGGUCUGGCUGUUUUGCCCAGAAUGGAGUGCAGUGGCGUGAUGGUCUCGGCUGACAGCAGCCUCGACCUCCUGGGCUCAAGCCUUGGCCUCCCAAAGUGCUGGGAUUACAGCCCCACCUGCAGAGUCAAGUCCCUCCUCCCACCUCAGCACUGCUAGAAAAGAGCUUCAGGAUGGAGCCACACAUGUCACUCAAGCCCAAGGGUCAGUCAACAGCCCACAGCCCUAAAUUCAUCUGUGUCCAAUGCCAGACCCUGCAACUGCUGAUUUACAUGAAUCAACUCCAUCAUGCAAGCCUCAUGACAUCCCAAUGAGCCACCAUCCUGUGAGGAAGCCCAGAGCACAUGAAGAGACCACCUGCACAUGUUCAGAUCCACUGCCCCAGCUAAGAUCUCCGCUGACAGCCAGACCAAUCACCAAUCUUAGGAGCUGGCGAGCCUUCAGAUGGUCCAACCUUUGAGGCCCCCCAGAGGAGCCAGGUGGAGCAUAGAUGAGCCAUCCAUGUGGAUCCCUCCACCAAAUGGAAGAUUUAGGAGCAAAAUAAACAAUGUUGUCAUUGCUUUC
rnacentral:lncRNA from 1 species